UACGUAGGUGACAAGCGUUGUCCGGAUUUACUGGGCGUAAAGAGCGCGCAGGCGGUCGAUCAAGUCGAGUGUGAAAGCCCCCGGCUCAACUGGGGAGGGUCACUCGAUACUGAUCGACUCGAAGGCAGGAGAGGGAAGUGGAAUUCCCGGUGUAGUGGUGAAAUGCGUAGAUAUCGGGAGGAACACCAGUGGCGAAGGCGACUUCCUGGCCUGUUCUUGACGCUGAGGCGCGAAAGCUAGGGGAGCAAACGGG
rnacentral:rRNA from 1 species